rnacentral:tRNA from 1 species
GCGGGGGUAGCACAACUGGAUAGUGCACAGGCCUUCUAAGCCUGCGGUUGUGAGUUCGAUUCUCACCCCUCGCGCCA